rnacentral:rRNA from 1 species
GAUGAACGCUGGCGGCGUGCCUAACACAUGCAAGUCGAACGAAGCACCUUUUAAGAUUCUUCGGAUGAUUGAUUGGUGACUGAGUGGCGGACGGGUGAGUAACGCGUGGGUAACCUGCCCUGUACAGGGGGAUAACAGGUGGAAACGGCUGCUAAUACUGCAUAAGCGCGCGAGAGGACAUACACUUGAGUUAAAAACGCCGGGGGUACAGGAUGGGCCCGCGACUGAUUAGCUGGUUGGCAGGGUAACGGCCUACCAAGGCGACGAUCAGUAGCCGGUCUGAGAGGAUGAACGGCCACAUUGGAACUGAGACACGGUCCAAACUCCUACGGGAGGCAGCAGUGGGGAAUAUUGCACAAUGGGGGAAACCCUGAUGCAGCAACGCCGCGUGAGUGAAGAAGUAUUUCGGUAUGUAAAGCUCUAUCAGCAGGGAAGAUAAUGACGGUACCUGACUAAGAAGCUCCGGCUAAAUACGUGCCAGCCGCCGCGGUAA